rnacentral:rRNA from 1 species
UGGGGAAUAUUGCACAAUGGGCGCAAGCCUGAUGCAGCCAUGCCGCGUGUGUGAAGAAGGCCUUCGGGUUGUAAAGCACUUUCAGCGGGGAGGAAGGCGAUAAGGUUAAUAACCUUGUCGAUUGACGUUACCCGCAGAAGAAGCACCGGCUAACUCCGUGCCAGCAGCCGCGGUAAUACGGAGGGUGCAAGCGUUAAUCGGAAUUACUGGGCGUAAAGCGCACGCAGGCGGUCUGUCAAGUCGGAUGUGAAAUCCCCGGGCUUAACCUGGGAACUGCAUUCGAAACUGGCAGGCUGGAGUCUUGUAGAGGGGGGUAGAAUUCCAGGUGUAGCGGUGAAAUGCGUAGAGAUCUGGAGGAAUACCGGUGGCGAAGGCGGCCCCCUGGACAAAGACUGACGCUCAGGUGCGAAAGCGUGGGGAGCAAACAGG